rnacentral:rRNA from 1 species
UACGGAAGGCAGCAGUGGGGAAUAUUGCACAAUGGGCGCAAGCCUGAUGCAGCCAUGCCGCGUGUAUGAAGAAGGCCUUCGGGUUGUAAAGUACUUUCAGUCGUGAGGAGGGUGUUAAGGUUAAUAACCUUAGCAAUUGACGUUAGCGACAGAAGAAGCACCGGCUAACUCCGUGCCAGCAGCCGCGGUAAUACGGAGGGUGCGAGCGUUAAUCGGAAUUACUGGGCGUAAAGGGCACGCAGGCGGUUAAUUAAGUUGGAUGUGAAAUCCCCGGGCUUAACCUGGGAAUGGCAUUCAAGACUGGUUAGCUAGAGUCUUGUAGAGGGGGUAGAAUUCCAUGUGUAGCGGUGAAAUGCGUAGAGAUGUGGAGGAAUACCGGUGGCGAAAGCGGCCCCUGGACAAAGACUGACGCUCAUGUGCGAAAGCGUGGGGAGCAAAC